rnacentral:lncRNA from 1 species
GCAAGUGCCUGAGGGGCUAGAGAGAAAGCAAGAGAAGGUGGAUGAGAAGGGAGGCAGGGGAACUGCAAGCCUUCAGUCCUUGUACCUUUUAGGAUGUAGGGACACCCAGAGAACAGCCCUCAAUAAGAUCUGGAAAGAAGAGCUGUCACCACAGACUUAGAAAGUAGGUGUAUUUUUUUACAAAUCCAAAAUUCCUAUAUCCCAUAAUCAUAGGUGUGUGUUGAGCAGGGCAGAUUUCCUUUCCUAAUCUCUGUUUUCUCUUUCAGAAUAAUAGGUUAUUCCCCUGUCCUGAGUUCUGCUUGAAAAACUGAGAGUUCUAGAACUUUGCAAAAGCUCCUCUAUUGUUCCAAGAUGAGCAUUUUUCUGGGGUGAACUGGGCAGAGGUUUGACUGGCAAGCAGCUCUGGGUGUACAUUUCAUCCAAGAGUCUCAUGGUGGUCGAAGGAGAUCCCCAGAUGCAAAAUCAAAGUUGCUUGGAUUUCCAUUUCUUCCCCAUCUAGGAAAAGGGCAAUGGAAUCAAAGCCUUUAAAAAAUGUAGUAAGAGAAAGACUCUCUAAUUGAUCAGAACCUUCUGGCAACCAGCACUUUGGCCCAUCUACUGAAAAAUACUUUAUCAGUGUCUUUAGUAAAGGCCCCCAAGAUGCACAAUACAUUUUUGGUUGUUGAAAUAGAGUGUCUUCUAAGUCAUCAAGUAAAAGAGAAAUUCUGCUCAGAAGACUUUUGGAUAGUACCCAACAUUUGGUGAGGCUUACUAUAUUACAUGCAUUACCUCGCUAAAUCACCACAUUAGAACACUUACAGGUUAUGACAAAACAAGAAGGCCCUUACAAGAUGCCAGCACCUUGAUCUUGAACUUCUCAGACUCCAGAACUGUAAGCCAAUAAAUUUCUGUUCUUCAUAAAUUCCCCAGUCUCAUGUAUUCUGUUAUAGCAACACAAAACAGACUGAGACAGGCUCUCCCCAAAAUUUUAGAUGUUUCUCACUUUCCUGUAGUACAGACAUG